UCUGGGGAAGCUGCGGCUAAAAAACUCUACCACGAGCAUCUAAAGUUUAGGAGUGUUUUUCACAAAGAUACAACAAUAUGGUGCUCUGUAAACUUGAAAGUGAAGAUGGUUUAUUAUAGCUGUACGACUUGUAUGCACAUGAAACACAAGCAUCCCGAAGCGCAUUUUCAUGACGUCAGCAAAACACGCCGGGUCAAGCAAAGAAGUGUGGAUGACUUUUCAAACAAGCUGGAAUAUGCAAAGAAAGAAUUCCUGUUGUACUGCACAUGUGUAUAUUAUAUAUUACAAAUAAAGGCAUUCUAUAUUCCUUUA